AGUGAACGCUGGCGGUAGGCCUAACACAUGCAAGUCGAACGGCAGCACAGUAAGAGCUUGCUCUUACGGGUGGCGAGUGGCGGACGGGUGAGGAAUACAUCGGAAUCUACUUUUUCGUGGGGGAUAACGUAGGGAAACUUACGCUAAUACCGAAUACGACCUACGGGUGAAAGCAGUGGAGCUUCGGACCUUGCGCGAUUGAAUUAGCCGAUGUCGGAUUAGCUAGUUGGCGGGGUAAAGGCCCACCAAGGCGACGAUCCGUAGCUGGUCUGAGAGGAUGAUCAGCCACACUGGAACUGAGACACGGUCCAGACUCCUACGGGAGGCAGCAGUGGGGAAUAUUGGACAAUGGGCGCAAGCCUGAUCCAGCCAUACCGCGUGGGUGAAGAAGGCCUUCGGGUUGUAAAGCCCUUUUGUUGGGAAAGAAAAGCAGCAGGUUAAUACCCCGCUGUUCUGACGGUACCCAAAGAAUAAGCACCGGCUAACUUCGUG
rnacentral:rRNA from 1 species